CAAGUUAAAUGCCAGAAGGACAGAGACAAAUCCAGAAUAUGGCACAUUCUACACAAUGUGACCUAGUUUCUGCACAGAUCAAAGUCAUGAAAAGAAGAGGCCACAAGAGUCUGCUCUAGAUUCAACACAAAUGUGACACAGCUACCUCUGGGCUGACAUGGUGUUUAAAGCCGACAUUCUCUCAUGGAUCGCAGCAUAACAUAUUUGGAGACUUUCUCUCAUCACUAGAAUCUCACCUGCUUUUCCAUUAUAGCUCUCUUCCUGGUUGUUAGUUCCUGAUUCACUUCCCUUCUACCAUGAUGUGCUGCCUUAUCUGGUCCUGGAGCUAWGGAGUCKGCCAACCAUGAACUGCACCUCAAAAAAUGAGCCAAAAUAAACUUUCCCUCCUCUACAUUGUUYUUGUCAGUCUUUUGGUCACAGCAAUGAAAAAGUGGACUCAAAUACAAGGUAUGAUCUUUYACAGAGAAGCCAGGUCCUGCUACCAUCAAACAAGCAAAACAGAUCUGAUUCCCCCUACAAUUCCUGGAUAUCAAACAAUAAGAAGUGCCAGAUGACAGAAACCAAUCUCCUACAUCUGUCAAGACAAAACAAAACCUUCAUUCAGCCACAGAAUAUAGACAAGUCUGYUGUUUGGGAUCUUUUGGUUUGUUUUUUUGCUAACAGCCUUGAGAUAUAAUUUAUGUGCCACACAAUUCAUCCACUUAAAAUAAACAAUUCAACGCGUUUUAGUAUAUUUAUAGAGUAGUACAGAYACCACAAUCAAUGUUAGAUCAUUUAAACUAUUUCAAGAAGAAAUUCURUUCCCAUUAGAAAUCAUUCCCCAACCCUCCCCUUUCCACAAUCGCUGGAAACCAGAAAUCUGUUUUUAUUGUUGCUGAUAUACAAAAAAAUUAUAUACACAUAAUGUGUACAACUUGAUGAGUCUUGAAGACACUGUCACUGUAAUCAAGGUAAUACACAUAUUCAUCACUUCUAAAAAAAGUCUUCAUGCUUUUUUAUUUGUUUUGGGGGAGGAGGAUUGUUAGUAAUAAAGCCAGAUUUAAAGAUAGGUAGUUAGUGUAGCUAGGUAAAUCGGGUCUGAUAUGGAGUCWAAUAAAGAAAAUGGAGUYCAAUCUAAACCCAGGAAAUCAGCACUACACCUUGGAGAUUGAAAUGUUAAUGGCCCCAAGGCCCUGGCCCAUUCCAAAGAAUUGUAAUGAAGCAGCUCCCAGCAAAUAGGGAGGUGCUAAUCAAAUCAUCCUAAGUCCUUCCUACCGAGAUCAUUCCUCUCCAACCUCAUCUGUUUUCCACCAUUUGGCAUUCCCACCUGCAUCCCCUAUCACAUGCUAUAUAGAGGRAAAAAAGCAACAAAAAGAACAGAAAUGUAGAAGGACAAAAGAAGACCUUAGAUACAAAAGGGAUAAGACCUCCCCUUCCCAUGGAUUACACCUUUUAGAUCCCCUUCUUCCUCUGGGGGGAUAUCUUCUCUGCGAUC